CUUCUCUUUCGCGACUCGUUUCUCUCUUCUCUCUCUUUCUGGGCGAUAUGAAAACCAAAAAAUCGAAAGGUUGGAUCCGUUGAUAUCUAAUGCUUCCACGGCGGAGAAUGGUCUGAUUUAGAAGAGUGGUGAAGGAGAAACAAGCGUCAUCAACGAAUCUCCAUCGACGGUGGGUUUCCGGCGAAUCGACAGAAGUUGGGAUUCUUAAUCGGUGAGAUUUUUGACCAAUUCCGGGAGCUUCUUUCAACAAAUCGGAUCAAACUGGGUUGUGAUUAGCUCUUGUUUCUGGACCGACGAAGCAGUUUGGUGAAGCUCCUUGGUGUGCCAAUGGUUGAUGAUGAUAAAUCAUCAAAGUCAAAGAAAUCUUCAUCUCUAACCAUAAAGACAAGGUGUCUCUCCGCUCUAAGUAAUACAUGAUGAGAUGACUUUGGUCUCUGUUCUAUUUCCUGCCAUUUGUUUCUUACGUUCAUUUACCUCGGUUUAAAGCAUUCACCGAGAUGAAAUUAAUCUAUCUGCAUUGUAACCAAACAGAACCAUAUUGAUUGUACAUCUUGUUUCAAACAGAACCUCUUCUUCUUGUUUUACACUAAGA